UACGUAGGGUGCAAGCGUUGUCCGGAAUUAUUGGGCGUAAAGAGCUCGUAGGCGGUUUGUCGCGUCGAAUGUGAAAACCCGGGGCUCAACCCCGGGCCUGCAUUCGAUACGGGCAGACUAGAGUUCGGUAGGGGAGUCUGGAAUUCCUGGUGUAGCGGUGAAAUGCGCAGAUAUCAGGAGGAACACCGGUGGCGAAGGCGGGACUCUGGGCUGACACUGACGCUCAUGCACGAAAGCGUGGGGAGCAAACAGG
rnacentral:rRNA from 1 species